CCUACGGGGGGCAGCAGUGAGGAAUAUUGGUCAAUGGCCGGAAGGCUGAACCAGCCAAGCCGCGUGAAGGACGAAGGUGCCAAGCAUUUUAAACUUCUUUUGUCAGGGGACAAAAUCAGGCUCAAGAGCCUGACAGAGGGUACUUGAAGAAAAAGCAGCGGCUAACUCCGUGCCAGCAGCCGCGGUAUUCUGGGGGAUUAGAGGGUGUACGGGAUUUAUGGGGUUAAAAGGGUGCGUAGGCGGACUGUUAGGUCAGCGGUAAAAGCCCGGGGCUCAACCCCGUUGAGCCGUUGAAACUGGCUGUCUUGAGAUGUCGAGAGGUAUGCGGAAUUCGCAGUGUAGCGGUGAAAUGCUUAGAUAUUGCGCAGAACUCCGAUUGCGAAGGCAGCAUACCGGCGGCGAUCUGACGCUGAGGCACGAAAGCGUGGGUAUCGAACAGGAUUAGAUACCCGGGUAGUC
rnacentral:rRNA from 1 species